AACCUUGGGCCUGGCUGGCCGGUCCGCCUCACCGCGCGCACUGGUCCGAGCCGAGGCCUUUCCUCCUGGGGAGCCGCAUGCCCUUCACUGGGUGUGUCGAGGGAACCAGGACUUUUACUUUGAAAAAAUUAGAGUGUUCAAAGCAGGCCUAUGCUCGAAUACAUUAGCAUGGAAUAAUAGAAUAGGACGUGUGGUUCUAUUUUGUUGGUUUCUAGGACCGCCGUAAUGAUUAAUAGGGAUAGUCGGGGGCAUCAGUAUUCAAUUGUCAGAGGUGAAAUUCUUGGAUUUAUUGAAGACUAACUACUGCGAAAGCAUUUGCCAAGGAUGUUUUCAUUAAUCAGUAAACGAAAGUUAGGGGAUCGAAGACGAUCAGAUACCGUCGUAGUCUUAACCAUAAACUAUGCCGACUAGGGAUCGGGCGAUGUUAUCUUUUUGACUCGCUCGGCACCUUACGAGAAAUCAAAGUUUUUGGGUUCUGGGGGGAGUAUGGUCGCAAGGCUGAAACUUAAAGA
rnacentral:rRNA from 1 species